CAGAAAAUAGUUUAAUUUAAAAUUUAGGUUUUGGAAAUCUAAGAUGUCGAAAGGUUUUUCUGA
rnacentral:tRNA from 1 species